rnacentral:rRNA from 1 species
AACGAACGCUGGCGGCAGGCUUAACACAUGCAAGUCGAACGCACCUUUCGGGGUGAGUGGCAGACGGGUGAGUAACGCGUGGGAAUCUACCCUUCUCUACGGGAUAGCUCCGGGAAACUGGAAUUAAUACCGUAUACGUCCUGAGGGAGAAAGAUUUAUCGGGGAAGGAUGAGCCCGCGUUGGAUUAGCUAGUUGGUGGGGUAAAGGCCUACCAGGGCGACGAUCCAUAGCUGGUCUAAGAGGAUGAUCAGCCACAUUGGGACUGAGACACGGCCCAAACUCCUACGGGAGGCAGCAGUGGGGAAUAUUGGACAAUGGGCGCAAGCCUGAUCCAGCCAUGCCGCGUGAGUGAUGAAGGCCCUAGGGUUGUAAAGCUCUUUCAGUGGGGACGAUAAUGACGGUACCCACAGAAGAAGCCCCGGCUAACUUCGUGCCAGCCGCCGCCGUAA